GGAUGAGAGGAGGAUGGAAGGUAAGAAUGGAAGAGAAAUAGCACAUUGCACAAGUGCUUCCAAAGGCGCACACAGAGAGGAACAACUGCACUGAACAGCAGCACCAAGUAAGUGGUGCCCAGUUAUGCCACCUUAUUUCCCACUCCAAAAUCUGGGAUUCUAUGGAAGUUCCCAUUUAUCUACACAUUCUUCAUGCUUGACAUGACUACAUGCAUUCAGCCCAAGACGCAUCAGGACUAUGGACUUGCUGGGUGGACUCCCAUCCUGACAGGUCUCUUUGGAGACCCUUUACUCAUAUUUAGAAGUUGACAAGCAUUCUACUUCCCAGUUGAAGGGGCCAGCUAUUUUUUUCUUCUACAUUUCUGAAGUUGAAUGAGUAUCACCUUUCCUGUAUUUUUAUCAAAACUAACCCAACAAAGGAAAUCAGGCUGAAUUAUAUAUACUGUUGAUUGAAACAGGCAUCUCUAUAAGAAAAUAAAUAAGUCCAUCAGCCUAAGAGCUGUAUUGAGAAAGAUAAGGACCUGAUUCAAACACCAGAAUCACAAAUCAAAGGUAGGAAAGUUCAAAAGACUACUAUCAAAAGAAAUUAUUAUUAUUUUUUUUAAUACACAUUUUUUUUUUGCAGCUCCCCACUACCUGCCUUCCUCCAGUUUUCCAUUAAAAGAAAACUCAUAUUUAUCCAGUUAAAAUUUAGAAGGCUUAGAAUACCACUGAUUCCUGAAUGUGCUUCUAGAAGAGGAUACCUGCAGAGGACACUGCAUUACACAUUUUAAAAACAGGGAAAUCAUUUUUGGAUUUUGAAGUUUUGACAGCAAGUGACAGUGAAGAUGGCAAGUCGGAGCAAUGAUUUCCUCAGCUCAAACUCCUUUGUCAAAGAGAGUGCAUCAAGACCCAGAGCAUGACUACAAUAAGAUAUUCCUCAGCAUCUCAUUCGUUUUCAUUGACACCACUAUGCCAAUCCGUGAAUGAGGAACAGAAGAUGCUUAUAGGAAACAGAUAAAAUAUGCCUUUUGGGGCAUUUGAUUUAGAAAGAUUUGGCCACCAUACAACUAGACCUGUCAUAAUAUUUCUAUAGUCAAUGUUUAGUGGACUCUGAAGCCCCUCUUGAGCAUCAUUGUUUAAGGAAUGAAAUAGAAAAAUUAUUUCAUGUCAUAUUUGAAGGAAUAAAAAAGCAACACCGUUAAGCUUGUUUGUAAGA
ensembl:lncRNA